UACCAGACUGCACACUACUCCCAACUCCAGCUGCCAACUGUUCCUCCUGCACAAGUGAUUUACAAAGAUGGCACAGACCAAGAACACAGGGGAUACAUCCUGAACCUGCCAGCAACAUGGUGGUGCGGAAGCCCAAAACUAUGGGGAAAAGAUAUCUGCACUCCACACUUUACAGAGCUUACACAGGACCACUUCCAGAUCCUGACAUUCUGGCAUCAGGAGAAAAACUACGCCAGCUGGAGUCCCAACCACUUAUCGCUAUUGUCCUAGAUGGUCUUUCACAUUUGGAGCUGGUUCCAUCCAAAUUUGGGCCUGUGCCACAGGGCUCACCAAUGUCUUAUCAGUGCCCACCUGAAAAG